ACGCUCGACACCUACGGGGGGCAGCAGUGGGGAAUAUUGCACAAUGGGGGAAACCCUGAUGCAGCGACGCCGCGUGAGCGAAGAAGUAUUUCGGUAUGUAAAGCUCUAUCAGCAGGGAAGAAAGUGACGGUACCUGACUAAGAAGCCCCGGCUAACUACGUGCCAGCAGCCGGGUAGUACUGAGGCGGGCCGUGGUCGAACGGACG
rnacentral:rRNA from 1 species